UACGAAGGGGGCUAGCGUUGCUCGGAAUUACUGGGCGUAAAGGGCGCGUAGGCGGACAGUUUAGUCAGAGGUGAAAGCCCAGGGCUCAACCUUGGAACUGCCUUUGAUACUGAUUGUCUUGAGUUCGGGAGAGGUGAGUGGAAUGCCGAGUGUAGAGGUGAAAUUCGUAGAUAUUCGGCGGAACACCAGUGGCGAAGGCGACUCACUGGCCCGAUACUGACGCUGAGGCGCGAAAGCGUGGGGAGCGAACAGG
rnacentral:rRNA from 1 species